AGAGUUUGAUCCUGGCUCAGAUUGAACGCUGGCGGCAGGCCUAACACAUGCAAGUCGAGCGGCAGCGGGAAAGUAGCUUGCUACUUUUGCCGGCGAGCGGCGGACGGGUGAGUAAUGCCUGGGGAUCUGCCCAGUCGAGGGGGAUAACUACUGGAAACGGUAGCUAAUACCGCAUACGCCCUACGGGGGAAAGCAGGGGACCUUCGGGCCUUGCGCGAUUGGAUGAACCCAGGUGGGAUUAGCUAGUUGGUGAGGUAAUGGCUCACCAAGGCGACGAUCCCUAGCUGGUCUGA
rnacentral:rRNA from 1 species